UGGGAAAUGGCGGGUGCUACCAUGCAGUCGACGCUGAAGCACCUUCGGGUGUGGAUGAGUGGCGAACGGGUGAGUAACACGUGGGUAACCUGCCCUGUACUUUGGGAUAAGCCCUGGAAACGGGGUCUAAUACCGAAUAUGACUCGCUAAGGCAUCUUGGUGGGUGGAAAGUUUCGGCGGUACAGGAUGGGCCCGCGGCCUAUCAGCUUGUUGGUGGGGUAGUGGCCUACCAAGGCGACGACGGGUAGCCGGCCUGAGAGGGUGACCGGCCACACUGGGACUGAGACACGGCCCAGACUCCUACGGGAGGCAGCAGUGGGGAAUAUUGCACAAUGGGCGGAAGCCUGAUGCAGCGACGCCGCGUGAGGGAUGACGGCCUUCGGGUUGUAAACCUCUUUCGCCAGGGACGAAGCGUAAGUGACGGUACCUGGAGAAGAAGCACCGGCUAACUACGUGCCAGCAGCCGCGGUAAUACGUAGGGUGCAAGCGUUGUCCGGAAUUAUUGGGCGUAAAGAGCUCGUAGGCGGCUUGUCGCGUCUGCUGUGAAAAUCCGGGGCUUAACUCCGGACCUGCAGUGGAUACGGGCAGGCUUGAGUUCGGUAGGGGAGACUGGAAUUCCUGGUGUAGCGGUGAAAUGCGCAGAUAUCAGGAGGAACACCGGUGGCGAAGGCGGGUCUCUGGGCCGAUACUGACGCUGAGGAGCGAAAGCGUGGGGAGCGAACAGGAUUAGAUACCCUGGUAGUCCACGCUGUAAACGUUGGGCGCUAGGUGUGGGCGACUUCCACGUUGUCCGUGCCGUAGCUAACGCAUUAAGCGCCCCGCCUGGGGAGUACGGCCGCAAGGCUAAAACUCAAAGGAAUUGAUGGGGCCCCGCACAGCGGCGAGCAUGUGGAUUAAUUCGAUGCAUCGCGAAGACCUUACUUGGCUUGACAUGCACCUGGAAACCGGCAGAGAUUGUCGCCCCUUGUGCCGGUGUGCAGUGGUGCAUGCUGUCGUCAGCUCAGUCUGAGAAUGUUGGUAAGUCCGCACUAAGCCCACCCUUGUCUUUGUUUGCAAGCCCGUAUGCGGACUCGCGGGAACUGGCCCGGUUCACUCGGAGAGUGGGGAGUCGUCAAAGUUUAACUAUG
rnacentral:rRNA from 1 species